CGUCCCCCUUCUCCACCUCUCGCACGUUGUCGCUCCGCACCGAUUUUUAUUCGCCAACCGAAUCCCACACGAAAAAAAAUAACAGAAAAAAACCCGUGCGUUACGCAUCUCCUCUAUCUCCUAAAUCACCGCCUCCUCUUCCCGCAAUCUCUCACCCCCUCCCCGCCAAUUACGCCCGUCUCCUCUAUCCCAAAUCCCAACCCCGCAGCGGAGAUAGUCCUGCCGUCGCUCCAUGCCGCCGCGACGAACGGCAUCGAAGCACGUCCCGCCCUAGCUUCAUGCCGCCGCGAAGUACAGGUGGUGCUCGGGGUCUUUCCACGGGUGAACUGUCGCAGCAGAUCGAGAACGCCAUCCUCUUCUUGAAUUUUGCUGACCGAUCCAUUCCCGCGUCCAAGCCCAACGUCAUCCUCUUCUUGUACUUUGCCGAUCGAUCUGACCCCGCGUCCAAUCACGGAGUCCCGUGGACCGUCUCGAACUUGUAACCAACCCCACUCGCCCCAAUGGACGAUGAUGUGCCCAUGGAGGAUAGGUAUUGCUUCAUCUUCUGCACUCGCUGAUUGCAGUAUCCCGGAUUACCUGACACCGUGAAGCUGGAGCCUCAUCCGCAGCCAAUAUAAGUUGUUCCCUGCCCGUCUCACAUAAACAACCAUUCUCCCUUCUAUGAAUAAGCAUAGUCAUGUGUGCAGAUGGACAUGCAUAUGAUUUUUAACCAUUUCACAAGAUAUUCGUAUUCGCUGCUAGCAGUUUUCUGUGAAAGAACAUUUCAGUAUCGAGUGACAUGGCACAAGGCAGAGCGUGCAAUAUCUGAAUGAGUACUGGGUUGCCACCGCAUUGGAUUGAUGGUUGUUCAUUUGUGGCUCCUGAUUAUUUGGUGAUUGCAGAGCACUUGGCAGGCAGAUCAGUUAUGAGGAACUCAAGGCUGAGCUAGAGCGGGGUGGGCGCCAACAUGAAGGAGUCGGAGAUAUCUCAAUUCAUGUAUCAGGCAUUAUGCAGACCCUAAGCUUCCCCUUUUCCUAUCCCACAUUUUGCCAUUGAACUCGAUUGGUAUAGCAAAAUGAAAAAUAGACCGCUAUUUACUUGGCAACUCAAAUUACUACAUCAGUUCUUAUCCUAUGGUGAUCAAAACUAAUUGAUGAAACAUUGUUAUGCGAUUAUUGAAUCUAAGACAAGGACAAACCUGUUAGAAAAGACAUAGUAGCUCAUUUUCAACUUCAGAAUUACUAAAACAGAGUAAUGUUAUCCAUCUCAUUGGAACUGUAUAUUUUAUACAAAACAAAUAGUACAUAAUUAUUUAGGACUCACGGUGUCAACUAAGGUUGUUUCAAGAAAAUCAAUGAGCGGUUGCUGAAAUUAUAACCAGUUUUCUUGCAUGUCGGGCCCACACCACACAAACCGUUUGUUUGACUGUUUCUAACAGCUUUUGCGGCUUGCAUUGUUUAACGGGGGGAUAACAGAAUGCACAGAAACAGCCUCCAUGGUAUCUAACACCAGCAUAUGUUGUCUCUUCACCAUGUAAUGUUGUGCAGCCUAACAGAAAUAUGAACUUGACCUUGAGCUCUCCGCGCAAUUGUGGAUUUGUUUCUAUUAUCUUCAUAGCCUGUCUACUAGCAAUUCUGCACAACCUUAGUGUAGAUGAUUGUGUGAACGAUACAACUGUGGAAAAUAACUAUACCUUUUUGGUAGUGAGGAACUAAUUUUUGGUGUUAGGAAAUUAUGAAGUAUUUAUGCGUGUUCCACAACUUCAAAUGUACUUGAUGUAUCAAUUCCGUUUGUAAUCUUUCAAAUUGAGGAUAUUUCAGAGGAACUUCGUGCAAUUCUCGAUAAAUACACAAUUUCUUUCUUUCAGCAUGUUCCAUUUGUGAUGAUACUUCAUAGUUUCUUACAAAUUUUUGAGGUGCAAUUUUCAUUCUUCUGUGCUCGGAUUUCAAAUUUUGUUCCAUCAUAAAGUUUAUCGCAUUAAUCUCUUAGCCUUUUAUAUCAAAACCUAAUAAGCCUGUUAGUUGAGUCCCACUUAGGAAUUAGAGAAGUUUCUUUUGUUUCCUGGAUAGAUACUUAUGGUUGUGUCCUCUUUUAGGUUUGAUAUGCCAGGGCCGAGCAUCACUGUCGAGUUGAAGAAAUACUUGUAAUGGUUGUCAAAGUUGUGUUUAUUUCUGCAAACUGAUUAAAAACGGGUCCACCUUCAUAAGGGUGAUGUAAGUUGCAACUAAGCUCAGGUUUAUUCCCUGUUGCCUACAUAUUUCUAUUUCACCACAUUAUCUCUUAGCCACUAGAUGGAAAACAGAAAAAAAAAUGGGAGAGAAUCACUUCCUUUAUAGAUCUAUGU